AGGUGGUGUUUGAAAGCUGGAGGAACAUCAGAAUCAGCUGUCCAGUUCUCAGAAACUGUAUGUGUGUGAAAUCCAAAGGGUUUCAGCCCAGUGUUUCAGUUCAUCAGGAUCUCUUUGGACUCCAGUUCUGUCAUCCAUUUCCUCUGCUUCAUGUCAUUCACAAAUUUGAUAAGCAUGACAUUUCUGCCUUCUUCAGAGUCAUUGAUAUAUGUGUCUAUCCAGAGUCAAGGACAGAGCCCUAUGCCACUCCACUAGACAUCUCUCCACAUUGACCGUGAUCCAUUAAUCAGUCAUUUUAUCAGUUCUGAAACCGCCUACUAUCAUCCAAACCAAAUCUCCCUUUUGUCAGUGAAGAUAGCAUGAGGGAAACAGCUCAAGAAUGAAAAAAGAUAGACACAAAAGUACAAUAUAUACUGAAGUAUUUAUGGGAGCAGUUUUGGUGGUAAAAAAACAUUACAAACAAGGUAAAUGUCUAUUGAUUCAGAAUUGGUUGAAAAAAUUUGGAAAAGUUCUGAAAUAUCAAUGUAGUUGAACACUGUUGUGCAGUAUGAAAUGAUGAAUAGGAAGAAUUCAAAGAAACAAGAAGAUUAUUUGAACUUCGUGGAGUGUGAAGUAAAUAGAAUCAAGAGAACAAAUGUAAGUAAUGACUACAGAAAUUUAGUGAGUUUGAAAAGGGGGACAUGCAUAUGAAACGGAUCCCUAAAAGGAAGUUGAACUCUUGAGCAGUGAAAAAACCGGUGAAGAUUCUGGAGAAGAGAUAAUGAAACACCUCCUUCAUGGAACAGAGAUGUGGAGGUCUGUCAGGACAGAAUAUUGUAUAUAUUUUCAGACACAAUCUAUGUCAAAAUUUAUUUAAUUGUUUUUCUUUGUCACAAAAAAUGGUUCAACCUGGAGGACUGUGUGGGAAAUUGUGAUAUAAAGACAAAAGGCAUCAAUCAAAUGUAUUUUUACAAAAAGAACAUUAGAGAGUUUGUCAUAAGCACCAGUCUGGUAGCCCUGUCUAGAAAGGAAAUAAAAUUAUGCCUGACUUGUUCUUGAUGAGAAACAUAACAGAUUGUAAUAAAAAAAAAAAGUUCCAGUUUUUAAGCUUUCCCAAACCAUCCCUUUAAUAAACUUUCCUAGAAUUUUACCACAAAUAAAUGUUAUGCUCAGUGACCUAUAAUUUGAAGUAUCCACAUUCUUGUUUUUUAAUAUUGGAAUAUUUGCUUGCUUCCAGUCCUUCUCCAUUCACCAUGAUGUCUCAAUGAUCAAAAAGACAGUAAGUGUUUUGAGUGUUUAGUUCAUUCGGGCCAGCUAUUUAGGAGAUCUGCUUCUCCCUUUACUAUGUCACUUGUUCUGAUUUUUAGUUGUAACUUUUUCUCUUCAUUUCAAAGAUCGUUUUCUUCAAUAGGUAAAACAAAAGGAAAUAUAAGUUGAGUUCAACUUGUUUUUGUCAUUUAUUAUCAUCUUCCUGUCUACUCCAAGCGGAUGUUUUUUCUUUCUCUACCCCCAAAUACAGGUUUUUUCCCCAAAAAACCACAGCUUUGAAAAGCUGUUUUCUUAUCCUUUGUAGUUAUGGCAGUCCUUGGCUCAUAAUAGACUUCCUAACUGUUCUUACAGGUCUCUGCGAAAGUUUUUUUUAUUCAUACUCAGUCACCUGCCUCAGAUCUCUAAUCUUAUUCCAUAGUGGUAAGAAUCAGGUCCAUAACAUCAGAUCAUCAUUUCUCCCCUUUCUUCCUCAAAUAUUAAAUGAUCGAUUAGACAAGUCAAGAAUUUUUAGCUCCCUUACUUUUAGCAGUGAGACUUUCUUCCCAGGUGGCACUAUUAACAGCUGUUUUGUGAGCCUUGCCAUUCAGCCGUUUCCAGAUCCGUCUUAACUGUACUAUUGUCUAAUCUACAUCUCUUAAUCUUUUCUGAAAACAAAAAACAAUGUUGGAGAUGUUGUCAAAUGCUUUAUUGGAAUCUAGGCAACUUAUUUCUCUAUCCUCCAGAGUUUAGUGGUCUUAUAACCUGUCAGAAAGGGGGGGGAGGGCAGCAAAAAACCAAGAUUAAUCUGACCUGACCAGUUCUUAAUAAAGCCAUUCAUUAGCUCUU